rnacentral:rRNA from 1 species
GAUGAACGCUGGCGGCGUGCUUAACACAUGCAAGUCGAACGGGAUCCAUCAGGCUUUGCUUGGUGGUGAGAGUGGCGAACGGGUGAGUAAUGCGUGACCGACCUGCCCCAUACACCGGAAUAGCUCCUGGAAACGGGUGGUAAUGCCGGAUGCUCCGACUCCUCGCAUGGGGUGUCGGGAAAGAUUAUAUCGGUAUGGGAUGGGGUCGCGUCCUAUCAGGUAGUCGGCGGGGUAACGGCCCACCGAGCCUACGACGGGUAGCCGGCCUGAGAGGGCGACCGGCCACAUUGGGACUGAGAUACGGCCCAG